CCUCUCUGUGAGGGAUGUCGGUGCGCAUGCGCCUUGACGCGACGCGUUCUGCCGCGCAGCGCUUUCAAGACAGUCUGUCAGCUAUCUUGGAACGUGGCUUUGAAGACCAAGACCAUGCAUACUUCCAUACUGCAGAGAACACGUGUUUGACCAACCUAUGAACCACCACGAGAGAUGCUGGCACAGACACGUUGUCUUGGUAUGCUGUAUUUCUGGAUCUAAGAUCAAUCUGAGAGAACAGAUUCCCUGCUCAUGGGUAUGGUAAAUUUAACAGCGGGGAGGAAUAAUGGCCUUCUGAAGAUUGCCAAUGAGCAAAGAAUGAAUGCAGAAACCUUCUGUCCCAUCAGGAAUAAGAGGAGCUUCCUGCAAGAUUUUCACAGUCUAAAAAAAAUGUUUCCAGGCCAGCUCUCCCAAACCUACAAUGGUGUCUCAGAGCUGUAAAUACCAUUUGCAGAUCUCACACUUGUGUUUUGUUUAUAGCGAAAGAAACGUAUCUGUAUAGCACUGUAAGGUGAUCAUCAGUGCAACAGGAGGAAGCAGAAGGCUUCGUUACGUGCCAGAAAGAAUAAAGGGUGUGCUGUAAACAGUAUCUACGUGCUGAAUGCCACUGGGCCUUUAACAGACCACUGAGCAGUCAGCAGCUAUGGCCUGGAAUUGGCCUGAUUGGUUAGAGAGAAAGUCCUCAGCCGAACCAGUCUUUUGGAUAUCCAGCUGCAAUAAUUUAGGUAAAAUAUAAGAGCUCACAUCAUUAGUGUGUUUGUACACACAAGGAAGGCGAGUUACCUGCUGAUCAUUGUGGGACUGCACAUUGACUUUGAAACAUAAAAUCUCUGUACACUCGAGUUUCUCCAAAACAUAUUGUCCUCUACCACUGAAAGCAGAGUACUGGAGAUAACGUCAUCAGCAACAGGCAGCUGAUGGCUGGUGUGAGAAUCCCAGAAGGAAAUGACAGCAGGGGUUUGCCAGCUCAGGAUAUUUUUAUGUCAAGAGAAUGGAAAACGUCAAACCAUACCUGAAGGUAAUUACAAAUAUGUAAGCU
rnacentral:lncRNA from 7 species